rnacentral:rRNA from 1 species
AACUUUCAGCAAUGGAUCUCUUGGCUCUCGCAUCGAUGAAGAACGCAGCAAAGCGCGAAAUGUAAUGUGAAUUGCAGAAUUCAGUGAAUCAUCGAAUCUUUGAACGCACCUUGCGCUCUUGGGUUAUUCCUAGGAGCAUGUUCGUUUCAGUGUCGCGUACUUUCUCAACCCCGCCCUUGUAACAAAGGGUCGUUUAGGUGUUGGAUCAUGGCCUUUGCCCGUCUCUUUGGAGGUGGGCU